UACAGAGACUGCAAGCGUUAUUCGGAUUCACUGGGCGUAAAGGGUGCGCAGGCGGCCAAAUGUGUGAGGCGUGAAAGCCCGGGGCUUAACCCCGGAAUUGCACCUCAAACUAUUUGGCUAGAGCAUUGGAGAGGGUAGCAGAAUUCACGGUGUAGCAGUGAAAUGCGUAGAUAUCGUGAGGAAUACCAGAGGCGAAGGCGGCUACCUGGACAAUUGCUGACGCUCAGGCACGAAAGCGUGGGGAGCAAAAGGG
rnacentral:rRNA from 1 species